CCCUUCCUGAGUCCGAGGCGGUGGCCAUGUGGGGUUACAGGCCAGCGGGGGGGGAGCGGGGCUGGCCAGCACUGCCAUGCCCAAGCAGCCCCGUGUCCCCGAGUCCUGCGAGCAGGGGCUGGAAGCUGGGAGAAGGUGCCUCGGGGUGGGUGCUGUCCCCGCACCUUCCACCCGCCCUGGGCCCCAGCCACACCAGGCACUCAUCCCUGCCUGUCCUCAGUGGGCAGCGGGGAGGCCAGGGGCUCACCAGAGCUGCGCCUGGCCGUGGGGGGAAGGAGCUCAGCCUGCUCCUCACACCCUGUGAGCCGGCGUCCAGCGGGCAGGGCCUGAGCCCGCCAGCCACCGUGCUGUUGCAGAGACCUCGGGGCCCCUCCUGCCACCCUCCUCCUACCAACAAAGAUGUAGACAGCCAGCUUGAGACCCACACCCCGUUCCUGCUCCCUCUGUCUCUGUCUCUGUCUCUCUGUCUCUGUCUCUGUCCCCCCAGAGGGUCCUGUGCCCCUUUCAGCCUGACCACCUACUAAAAUGACCCUUGCCAAGGUCAGUGAGGCAGCUUAGUGGUGGGGACUGACCCCGGAGCUCCUGCUUCAGUCUCUGAGACUCCAGGCCCCGUGUCCCUCCAGCCCUCACACCUGGUGCCUGUGGUCGGUCAGACGCACGUGUUCUCUGCCCUGCCUAUAUUUUCCACCUCCAGACCUUGGUCUGGCCUCUGUCACUGCCUAGAUCACCCCCACCCCAUCAUCCAACACACACGUACACAUGCGUGCACACACAUGUACGUGCAGGCACACACACGGUGCUGGUGUGGCAGGGGCCCCCCACUAGACACGGGCUCUGAGGGCGGGGCUCAUGAACAGUGUUCCUUUGUGCCCCCCAGCCUGGGGCCUGGCCUCGGUGGUCCUUGGUGGAGCGCACUGUGCCCUCUGCUCUGCCUGGCAGAGAUACCCAGCAUCAACAGGCCCUGGGACACGUGUGGUGGGAAUCCUGGGGUCUGCUGCCUUGUCAUUGAUCAGGCAGCUUUGUGCCCGCCUCGGAGGGAAGCGGGCACAGGGGAGGGAGGCCCUUCCUCCCCGAGAAGCCGAGCUGCUAUUUUAAAAGUAGUCCCCAAAUUCCUUCCCUUGAGCACCUUGGAUCUAGGUGGGCUCUAAGACCGGAAGGUGAUUUCUGGAUUAGGUCAGGGAAAGCUCUCCUGGGACACUGGGUCUGGGGCCCCCACCAUGCUGUGAGGGAGACACGGGGAGGCCCUGGUGUGCACGAAGAGACAGAGGCUCUCUGGCUAACUGCACGAGGAGCCCCCGACAGAAUGGCCCAGAUGAGCCCCCUCCAAUGCUCGACCUACAGCGGCUGCUAGAGAGAAUACGAUGAUUGACGUAAAGUAGCCUGGCUUUCGGGUGAUGGGUUAGGGCUCCCUGAGGAGAGAGUGGAGGGGUGUGCCCGUCCAAUGUGGGUGCUGGAGGGUCUGGGGGCGUCUGAGCUGGGUCCGGCUUGCGGGAAGAACGGGGCUCGUUCUCUUGGGAAGACCGCAGGGGGGCCCUGAGUUUCAGGGCGUCCCCAGCCGCCCUUCGGCUGUCCAGUCUUGGCUCACGAUUGUUGUUCAGGGAGAAUUUGACCGAUGUCCACUUCCUCCUACUCACAAAAGCAAUGCCUGCCUUUGCUCAGGUGGGCAGAGGACCCAGGAGCUGCUUUAGGAAGGAGCCGGGAAAGCGUCUGUGCCAAGGACAGACCAACGGAGAUGCCAGGGACAUGUGACACGAAGUACACCCUGUCCAAUUAAAUUAUUUAACGCGUUAGCAUUAAUUGCCAUCCUGCAAACCCGUAAGUGGUUCAAGUUUUCGCUCUUCCUCUGGCUCAGAGAGCCUUCAGCCGGUGCCCAGGCUGGGAAUGUAUUUUCCUAUUUCCUCCUGUUCCUUGGUGAAGAGGACGCCUGGGGGAGGGGCUCCCUGUGUACGAGCCAGCGGUUUCCCCGACACCUGCUGCACCCAGCAGGGACGUUUCGUAUUCUGUCGACCCCCCUCCUGUCUUCUAUGUCUGUGCCUGCCUGGAUGCACGUUUGUAUUCCCAGAAUUAGGCGCCUCCACAGGGACCAGCCCAGCGCCCUCGGGGUAGGUGUGACGGUGGCGUUUUAGUGUCCCGAGGCUGCCAGAACAAAGUGCUGCAUGCUAGGGGCUCCAACCACAGAGGCCGCCCCCCACCCCAGGCCUCUCUCCUGGGCACCCGUGCAGAUGCCGUCCUCCAGAUCUCUCCUUACAAGGACACGGACCGGAGUGGGGCACACCCCACUGACCUCAUUUGACCUGAUCACCUCUGUGAAAACCCCCCCUUCCAAAUACAGUCACCCCAACACCCCGGGGGUUAGAGCUUCAACAUUGGGUUUGGGGGACACAAUUCAGCCAUACAGUGUGGCUUCUCUGUUGCCACCUGCCCUGAACCCAGGGCCGUAGAGGGCAGGUGAGGCUGCCCUGGAGGCCGUAGAAAAUGCUGUGGGCGACCAGACCCCACUUAGGAUGGGGGUGGGGGCUGCUGGCAGCUGACAGCCGAGCCCCUUUCCCAGGCUGCGCCUCCCCCAGGGUUGGCCCGCCGCACCACCCCACCCCCACCCCCUAGCCUCGGCUGGACCGCAGUGAGGGCCGUCAUAGCUCCAGAACCUCCCGCGGGGCCAUGGAGACCUCGGCUGUGGCUGCGGCUUUCCCCCUGCUCCGUCCCUCCCCACAGGGUGGUGCCGAGACCCCCCCUGUGACCUCCUGCGGCAAAUCUCCACCCGGCCCCCAGGGCAGCCUCUCCUGGCUGGGGGGAGACCCACGUCCUCCGUGUCUGAGACUCUCCCUUUGCUGAAACAGAAACGCCAGUGCAGGCCCGGGAGACCACGGUGCAGACAGAACACAGCACCCCGGCGACCGGUGUCCAGGGGAAUGAACGGCUCAGUCCUGCUCGCCACAAACAAGCCGCGGGCCCGUAAGCCCUGGCGCACAGCACGGCCCGUGGAAAGACGCACGGCAUCAUCAUUUGCUGACGUGCGGAUCCACCUCGGCGAGCCCGGCGCCCAGCCAGGAGGCGGCUGGAAUCAGCACACAGGUCGCAGGAAGCGUUGGCGUGAACGCGGUGGGGAAGCGGAGCCCCACUCACGCCGGCCGGGGGGGUACAGGGUGCAGCCCCCGGGCACAGCCGCCUGGCAGAUCCUCAGACGCCCAACUGUGAGGUUUCCAUAGCAACCCAGCAGCUCCAGCGCUCCGCGUGCGCCCAAGAGGGAUGGCGGGGUGUCCGUGCAGAACCCACACGCGGACGCUGGCGGCAGCCAGAGCUGGAGACAACGACGGGUCCGCCAAACGCGGUCCAGCCCCCGGCGGGGUGUCACUCGGGCUCAGCAAGGAGCGAAGCGUGGACGCGGCCGCGUGGACGAGCCUUGAAACCACGGCGUGGGGAUGAUGGCUUUUUGGGAAAGGAGGGCUGUGCCACCAUUCAGAUUUCUCUGCCCCGUCCCCAGGACUUUGCCCCAAAUGGGUGACCGAGCACACACGGAUCCGCAGGCACCACCCGCGAGGACACCAGAUCCACAGACCCCACGCAGCUUCCAUCAUGUGAUGUGCUCCCUGGAGAACGUUCUCCGGAGCUUCCUCGCUGAACCCGCUGAAGUCCUUGCUCAUCAUUCCACGUGGCCACACACACCAUGUCCAACAUUUCCAUGGCUCUUCUGCUGAAACGAUUUCACCAGGGUUAACUCAUCUACAUGAAAGAUGCCCCAGGCUGGGCUACCCGGUCCAUUGUAGCACAGGUCACGUUGUCAAAACUGGCCAAUUACAGCGUCUGCUCUCUCUUGGGGUCUCUAUGUCCAGCUGUCCAGCUACCCUGGGAGCUCCGAAGCCCUGACAUGGCCAGGCGGAACUUUUCCUUCCUUCCAUCAACCUUUAGCUGACGUGCAGCCCUGGGCUGAGCCCCACAGCAGCAUGCAGGCCCCGAGCAAAGAUGGGCCUAGAACCUGAGCAAGAACAACGUUCUUGGGGCCAAAGUCCCCAGGACCGGCUGGUCACUCUCAUCAGCAGCCUGUGCCUGUGCCUAACCCUGGCCUUGUUCUUCCCCUCCAUCCAGUGACAAUCAGGGACGUGACUCCGGCCAUCUCAGUCCUUCCCUCCGUGUGGUGAGGGUCAUGGAUGUGACCUGGGCCGCCCCGUCUCCCUUCCCCUCUGUCCAGUGGGGUGGAGAUGAUGGUGGGCUUCGCUUGUACCAGGGCUCCCUGCCCCUGCCAUCUCCCAAAGCAAACCUCUCCCCGCCUUCAGUAUUUGACCCACAUUGUGUAACGAAUGUGACAAGGGCUGUGGGCCAAUUUCUGUCCCCGGGACCAUCUGUUGUUUGCGAGCAGCGUGCAGUUGUCUCCACCUUCCGAGGCGGACAGCCCCUCGGACUGGCCUGGCCCUGCUCUGGCUGCCUGACUAGCAGCCCCCCAGCCCCACCUGCCACUCUGACCCGAUCCUGGGCUUGGGCCCAUGAGUUCCCAUCAGGAGUCGUCUCCAGAAUUGGCCCUAAUUGUUGGCUACUUGGCAGCUCUUGGGGACACUGAGGAGAUGUGAGGGUCCUGCACCUGCCUCCUCGUGGCUGGAAAGAGCCCACCUCAUUUGUGGUCCCUGCCUGGGGAGGAUCCUGUUCGGGGAGGACCCUGCCUGGGGAGGACUGAGGGCAAGCGGGGACAGUCAGGGUGGAGGCCUUUGGGAUGACCCAAUCUGCAGACUCUGGUGAGGGUGCAGCCCUGUCCAGCCAGCCAUCCCACAGGGUGGGCAGGCACCUCCACCCCGCCACACCCAGGACCUCAUCGGGGGUCCCAACAGACACUUCUUCUCCCUCAAGCCUCGCUCUGUCACUGAAGCGGCUCUGGGGCAGUCCCCCCCUCCCCUUUACAAACUUGCGUCUUUGUCCUGGGAAGAAAGAGUCCUGUGUGCUUGCUAGCAAAAAUCAAAGGGGUUUGAAGAAUAACUGUUUUCCUAAGUUUUAGCUGACAUUCAAUUUUAAUGACUUUUUAAACAAAGUAACUAUUAAACGUGGGCUGUUUUAUGGUC